ensembl:lncRNA
AGAAGGAAACACAGGUGGUUGUGUUCUAGCUGGUUGAGGGGUGAUGAGGUAUGACCCACAGCUGAACAGGGCAAACCAGGCAAUCUGUGGAGGGAGGCUGAGCUCAUUGGCUUGAGAAUCAUAGAAUACCUUGAGGUGGAAGGGACCCAGAAGGAUCAUCGAGACCAACUCCUAGCUCCACACAGGACCACCUAAAAAUCAGACCAUAUGUCUGAGUGCAUUGUCCAGAUGCCUCCUGAACUCUGGCAACUUUGGCCAUGCCCACUGCCCUGGGGAGCCUGUUACAUGCCAACUGUCAUGAAGAACAUUUACCGUCCAUUUUCUCUAGAGCCAUUGGAUCAAAACAUUCUGUAAAGUAAGAUGAAGAUGUUUCUGAAGUACAAGACUGUACUUUUUUCUAAUGAAUGUUGCCAGAAAGGAUCUUGCUUAAAAAGAGAGAUUCCAAACCCUCCUUUCCUCUUCUUUCCUCAGUAAAAUACAGUGUGCUCAUCAGAUGGUUAAAAUAUCCUUUCCAUCCAUCUCAAGUGGUACCACACAGCAUAAUGAAAGCAGCUGGUUAGCUUCACGUUGAUGCCAUGCCAUGGAAAAAUGUUUUGCUGGCAUUUCACUCUCUGGUGGAGAUGAGAUGUGAGACAAUGGUUCUUCUUGUAUUGCAAUUCAAGCUUUCAUGCCAGCACCUCCCAAUUCAAAUAGUUCCAACUCACUUCUUCAAAUGCAGCUUUCGCUGAGUGCUCAUUUCAAUUCUGUUAUGUUCAUGAUUGUCUCUGCUGAAGCAUCAGCCAAGCCAUGCUAUGCACUCUGUGAACUUGGAAGCACUUCUAUCUGGCUCGGAGAAGCAGUUAUUUUUCUGCACAGCUGUUUCAGGGGCUCAGCAGUGUCAUGGAGCUUGUGGCUUUUUCCCCUCCCUCCCCCUGCUGGCCGUUUUUAUCAGCAAACACUUCUCAAAACUUAACUGUGUUUUUCUAAGUGAAUUAUAAUGGGCUAACACUGUAUGUUUCCUAAAUACAACAAAUGAAAUUGCAUUUCAUCAGGUCACUGAUUUGGCUGUCUCCCAAAGCAAUCCUCCAUUGAUCCUGUUGAGUGGUUUUGCUAGCCAUAAAAACAUGUUUUUGAUCUGCUAGAAAAUGGCAAGCUUACAUUCUACAAUGAAAAGGGACUGAAAAUGCUCCUAAGACUCAGCUUUGAAUUGUAUAUGUUUUACAGAAAUCUGUAAUUCAUAGAAAAGAAAGCAGCACUAGUUAGAUUACACAGAUGUGACAGCUACAUGCAUUUUUCCUAUACUCAUUUCUUCAAUUGGUCCAAGUAGGAUGCGCAUCAAAAGGACCAGGUCUCCCUCCAAGUGCAGCUUCAGUAUGAGUUAUGAACUUGGGCAGCAGAGUGGUCCUUGACUUGGCAUGCCAAAUAAGUGUGUAUUUAGUUGAAAAUCUGAGUAUUUCAUUGGCAAGCACUUUGGGAUUUUUGCUUCUCAACUUUGGUGUGUGGCUUUACCAUCUCUACAUCCCUGUCCUAUUUUCUGUCAGGAUGAAUAAAGGAUCCACUCAGU